rnacentral:misc_RNA from 1 species
AUUUGCGACAAAAUCUCCAUGUUUCUUCUUCUAUUGUCGUUUGUUUUUUGGUUGGUGAAUUGUGAUUUUGUCUCUGUCUAGGUAAUGUGUGCUUCAAUUUAUAUAUAUCAUACGUGAAAAAGAUGACAUAUGAAGAGAGGGUUGAGUUGGGGAUUGAGGACGUUUUGGAUUGGGACACCACAGAUCAGAGAGUCUGUAGAGG